rnacentral:tRNA from 1 species
UGGCGGGUGGGGGCGCUGGUGUGCCCGGCGGUUUCAUAAGCCGCUUCAGGUGGGUUCGAUUCCCGCAUCCGCCACCC